CCCCUGUGAACAUACCUAUACGUUGCCUCGGCGGAUCAGCCCGCGCCCUGUAAAAAGGGACGGCCCGCCCGAGGACCCUAAACUCUGUUUUUAGUGGAACUUCUGAGUAAAACAAACAAAUAAAUCA
rnacentral:misc_RNA from 1 species